AGAACAGCGUCGACCUUUUUUGGCUCUAGGUCGGGGACAACCACUGGAAACGGGGGCUAUUACCGGAUGUGCCGAGAGGUGAAAGAUUAAUUGCCUAGAGAUGAGCUCGCGUCUGAUUAGCUAGUUGGUAGUGUAAGAGACUACCAAGGCGACGAUCAGUAGCUGGUCUGAGAGGAUGAUCAGCCACACUGGGACUGAGACACGGCCCAGACUCCUACGGGAGGCAGCAGUGGGGAAUUUUCCGCAAUGGGCGAAAGCCUGACGGAGCAAUACCGCGUGAGGGAGGAAGGCUCUUGGGUUGUAAAGCGCUUUUCUCAGGGAAGAACAAAAUGACGGUACCUGAGGAAUAAGCAUCGGCUAACUCCGUGCCAGCAGCCGCGGUAAUA
rnacentral:rRNA from 1 species